rnacentral:rRNA from 1 species
UACGUAGGGUGCGAGCGUUGUCCGGAAUUAUUGGGCGUAAAGGGCUCGUAGGCGGUUUGUCGCGUCGGGAGAUGAAACCUUGGGCUUAACUCAGGGCUUGCUUUCGAUACGGGCAGACUAGAGGUAUGCAGGGGAGAACGGAAUUCCUGGUGUAGCGGUGAAAUGCGCAGAUAUCAGGAGGAACACCGGUGGCGAAGGCGGGUCUCUGGGCCGAUACUGACGCUGAGGAGCGAAAAGCGUGGGGAGCGAACAGG